AACGAACGCUGGCGGCAGGCCUAACACAUGCAAGUCGAGCGAGGACUUCGGUCCUAGCGGCGGACGGGUGAGUAACGCGUGGGAACGUGCCCCUUGGUACGGAAUAGCCCCGGGAAACUGGGAGUAAUACCGUAUGAGCUCUACGGAGGAAAGAUUUAUCGCCAAGGGAUCGGCCCGCGUUGGAUUAGGUAGUUGGUGGGGUAAUGGCCUACCAAGCCGACGAUCCAUAGCUGGUUUGAGAGGAUGAUCAGCCACACUGGGACUGAGACACGGCCCAGACUCCUACGGGAGGCGGCAGUGGGGAAUCUUAGACAAUGGGCGCAAGCCUGAUCUAGCCAUGCCGCGUGAGCGAUGAAGGCCUUAGGGUUGUAAAGCUCUUUCAGCGAGGAAGAUAAUGACUGUACUCGCAGAAGAAGCCCCGGCUAACUCCGUGCCAGCCGCCGCUGUAAGAC
rnacentral:rRNA from 1 species